rnacentral:SRP_RNA from 1 species
GGUCGGGACCUGCAAGGGUCUUGCUGUGAACUCCGCCAGGUCCGGGAGGAAGCAACGGUAACAGUGAGGUCUUGUGCGGGGCCCGGCCCUC